UACAGAGGGGGCAAGCGUUGUUCGGAAUUACUGGGCGUAAAGGGCGCGUAGGCGGCCUUCUAAGUCGAACGUGAAAUCCCCGGGCUCAACCCGGGAACUGCGUCCGAUACUGGAAGGCUUGAAUCCGGGAGAGGGAUGCGAAAUUCCAGGUGUAGCGGUGAAAUGCGUAGAUAUCUGGAGGAACACCGGUGGCGAAGGCGGCAUCCUGGACCGGCAUUGACGCUGAGGCGCGAAAGCCAGGGGAGCAAACGGG
rnacentral:rRNA from 1 species